rnacentral:rRNA from 1 species
UACGGAGGGUGCGAGCGUUGUCCGGAAUCACUGGGCGUAAAGGGCGCGUAGGUGGCUUUUCAAGCGCGCGGUGAAAGCCCGGGGCUCAACUCCGGAACUGCCUUUAAGACUGCAUCGCUUGAAUCCAGGAGAGGUGAGUGGAAUUCCGAGUGUAGAGGUGAAAUUCGUAGAUAUUCGGAGGAACACCAGUGGCGAAGGCGGCUCGCUGGUCCAUUACUGACGCUGAGGUGCGAAAGCGUGGGGAGCAAACAGG